GGACUACCCGGGUAUCUAAUCCUGUUUGCUCCCCAUGCUUUCGUGCCUCAGCGUCAGUAUGAGUCCAGGAAGCCGCCUUCGCCACUGAUGUUCUUUCCGAUAUCUACGCAUUUCACCGCUACACCGGAAAUUCCACUUCCCUCUACUCUACUCUAGUCAACCAGUAUUAAAUGCAAUUCCCAGGUUAAGCCCGGGGAUUUCACAUCUAACUUAAUCUACCGCCUACGCACCCUUUACGCCCAGUAAUUCCGAUUAACGCUCGCACCCUCUGUAUUACCGCGGCUGCUGGCAC
rnacentral:rRNA from 1 species